rnacentral:lncRNA from 1 species
UUUUCGCUUUUCGUUACGCUGUCUAAAGGCUGGUUCACACAGAGAGCGAACCGCUGGCAAAAAGCGAAAAGCGAAGCGAAAUAUGCAUCAUUGAUGACGUCGUAUCCGGCGAAUGUUCCUAUUUAGCGAAUCGCCUUCUAGUUCGGAAAUGUUGAACUAUUUCGCUGGCGAAUUAUAUUCGCAGCCAAUCAGGUUGAAGGUAUCACGUGCACUCGUUUGUAAUAUGACGGCAAGUGUACGUCUCGAGAAUUUUGAUGUGGAUGAAUUUUUGUUAGAAAAGGAAAGAUAUCCAUUUUUGUUUGAUAAAAAAGAUGCACGC